ACUCGAGCGGCGAACGGGUGAGUAACACGUGAGCAACCUGCCCCUGACUCUGGGAUAAGCCCGGGAAACUGGGUCUAAUACCGGAUAUGACGCGCUCUCGCAUGGGAUGCGUGUGGAAAGUUUUUUCGGUUGGGGAUGGGCUCGCGGCCUAUCAGCUUGUUGGUGGGGUAGUGGCCUACCAAGGCGACGACGGGUAGCCGGCCUGAGAGGGCGACCGGCCACACUGGGACUGAGACACGGCCCAGACUCCUACGGGAGGCAGCAGUGGGGAAUAUUGCGCAAUGGGCGGAAGCCUGACGCAGCGACGCCGCGUGGGGGAUGACGGCCUUCGGGUUGUAAACCUCUUUCAGCAGGGACGAAGUUGACGUGUACCUGCAGAAGAAGCGCCGGCUAACUACGUGCCAGCAGCCGCGGUAAUACGUAGGGCGCAAGCGUUGUCCGGAAUUAUUGGGCGUAAAGAGCUCGUAGGUGGCUGGUCGCGUCUGCCGUGAAAGCCCGCAGCUUAACUGCGGGUCUGCGGUGGAUACGGGCCGGCUAGAGGUAGGUAGGGGCAAGUGGAAUUCCUGGUGUAGCGGUGAAAUGCGCAGAUAUCAGGAGGAACACCGGUGGCGAAGGCGGCUUGCUGGGCCUUACCUGACGCUGAGGAGCGAAAGCGUGGGGGAGCGAACAGGAUUAGAUACCCUGGUAGUCCACGCUGUAAACGUUGGGCGCUAGGUGUGGGGAUCUUCCACGAUCUCCGUGCCGGAGCUAACGCAUUAAGCGCCCCGCCUGGGGGAGUACGGCCGCAAGGCUAAAACUCAAGGAAUUGACGGGGGCCCGCACAAGCGGCGGAGCAUGUUGCUUAAUUCGACGCACGCGAGAACCUUACCAAGGUUUGACAUCACCCGGAAACGCUCAGAGA
rnacentral:rRNA from 1 species